rnacentral:rRNA from 1 species
AUAAGAAAGAUAAUGACGGUACUAUAUGAAUAAGCGCCGGCUAACUCCGUGCCAGCAGCCGCGGUAAUACGGAGGGCGCAAGCGUUACUCGGAAUCACUGGGCGUAAAGAGCGUGUAGGCGGAUAGAUAAGUCAGAAGUGAAAUCCUAUGGCUCAACCAUAGAACUGCUUUUGAAACUGUUUAUCUAGAGUGUGGGAGAGGUAGGUGGAAUUUCUGGUGUAGGGGUAAAAUCCGUAGAGGACAGAAGGAAUACCGAUUGCGAAGGCGAUCUACUGGAACNUAACUGACGCUGAGACGCGAAAGCGUGGGGAGCAAACAGGAUUAGAUACCCUGGUAGUCCACGCCCUAAACGAUGUCCACUAGUUGUUGUGAGGCUAGACCUUGCAGUAAUGCAGUAAACACAUUAAGUNUACCGCCUGGGGAGUACGGUCGCAAGAUUAAAACUCAAAGGAAUAGACGGGGACCCGCACAAGCGGUGGAGCAUGUGGUUUAAUUCGACGAUACGCGAAGAACCUUACCUGGACUUGACAUAGUAAGAACUUUCUAAAGAUAGAUUGGUGUCUGCUUGCAGAAGCUUAUAUACAGGUGCUGCACGGCUGUCGUCAGCUCGUGUCGUGAGAUGUUGGGUUAAGUCCCGCAACGAGCGCAACCCUCGUCGUUAGUUGCUAACAGUUCGGCUGAGAACUCUAACGAGACUGCCUGGGUAACCAAAUGUUUGGAUCACGUC